rnacentral:rRNA from 1 species
UACGUAGGGUGCAAGCGUUGUCCGGAAUUAUUGGGCGUAAAGAGCUCGUAGGCGGUCUGUCGCGUCUGCUGUGAAAACUCAGGGCUUAACCCUGAGCUUGCAGUGGGUACGGGCAGGCUGGAGUUCGGUAGGGGAGACUGGAAUUCCUGGUGUAGCGGUGAAAUGCGCAGAUAUCAGGAGGAACACCGGUGGCGAAGGCGGGUCUCUGGGCCGAUACUGACGCUGAGGAGCGAAAGCGUGGGGAGCGAACAGG